rnacentral:lncRNA from 1 species
UUGCUGUUAUUCCUGUCACUGCCUGGUAAAUAACAUCUCUUAAAAAUGUAUCUGGAAGACAAAGGAAAAAAUAAUCAAAGAAUAACACCAUUAACAUAUUUUAAGGAGGCUAUCUAUUACAGGACCUUCUGCAAGGGAUGUCCAGCUUUCUUUUGAAAUUAUAAGCACAUGUGUAUUUGUACAGCAGAUGAUAGGCAUAUCAGAGGCAACUAUUUUACCAGAAGUUCUGGAAUACUUCAUAAACUCAGCUGAGUUUAGAUUUUAUUUCUUGUAAUGCCUCAAUUGGUGUCCUUCUUCCACCCGCAACUCCUCCACCAUCAUCCCUUGACUGACCACUACUAUUUCUAAUUCAAUAAAAUCUGUUUCCAUUGAAUCCUUCCCUUGGUC